rnacentral:rRNA from 1 species
GGCACAGUUAUCAAGGGCAUACGGUGGAUGCCUUGGCACGAGCAGGCGAUGAAGGACGUGGUAAUCUGCGAUAAGCUACGGGUAGGCGAAAACAGCCGGCGAUCCGUAGAUUUCCGAAUGGGGCAACCCACACCGAGUCAUGUCGGUGUAUCCCGAGUAAUCGGGAGGCUAACCUGGGGAACUGAAACAUCUAAGUACCCGGAGGAAGAGAAAACAAUAGUGAUUCCCUGAGUAGCGGCGAGCGAAACGGGAACAGCCCAAACCAGUGCGCUUUUGUUCACUGGGGUUGUAGGGCCUCACAAGCGACCUCGAAUGAUAGUUGAAUAGCUCUGGAAAGGCUAACCAUAGAGGGUGAAAGUCCCGUAAACGAAAUCAUGAAAGGCGUGGAGGGAACCCUGAGUACCACGGAGUAAGGGAAAUUCUGUGGGAAUCUGCCAGAACCAUCUGGUAAGGCUAAAUACUUGCUCGUGACCGAUAGUGAACCAGUACCGUGAGGGAAAGGUGAAAAGUACCCUGAACAAGGGAGUGAAAUAGACCUGAAACCGUAUGCUUACAAACGGUGGGAGCAAACUAGCUGGGCUUCGGCCUGGUUGGGGAGUGACCGCGUGCCUUUUGCAUAAUGAGCCAACGAGUUGCUCGUCCGUGGCAAGGCUAAGGGGUUAAGCCCCGGAGCCGUAGCGAAAGCGAGUCUGAAUAGGGCGCCAUAGUCGCGGGCGGCAGACGCGAAACCGUGUGAUCUAGCCUUGGCCAGGGUGAAGGCUGGGUAAAACCAGCUGGAGGCCCGAACCGCCGCGGGUUGAAAACCGCUCGGAUGAGCUGAGGCUAGGGGUGAAAGGCCAAUCAAACUCGGAAAUAGCUCGUACUCCUCGAAAUGUAUUUAGGUACAGCCUCGAGCCAUAGUCAGCAGCCGGUAGAGCACUGAUUGGGCUAGGGCCCUUCACCGGGUACCAAACCCAGACAAACUCCGAAUGGCAGUCUGAUGUUCCUCGGGAGUGAGGCGGUGGGGGAUAAGCUCCAUUGCCAAGAGGGAAACAACCCAGAUCGCCGUCUAAGGCCCCAAAGUCGAUGCUAACAGAGAAAGGAUGUUGCGUUACUGAGACAACCAGGAUGUUGGCUUAGAAGCAGCCACUCAUUUAAAGAGUGCGUAAUAGCUCACUGGUCAAGUGACGCAGCGCCAAUAAUGAUCGGGACUAAGCAUCGCGCCGAAGACGCGAGUUCUUCAUUCAUUUGAAGAGCGGUAGAGGAGCAUUCUGUGGGCGCCGAAGCGGGAAGGUGACUAACCGUGGAGCGCACAGAAGAGAAAAUGUUGGCAUAAGUAACGAUAACGGAAGUGAGAAUCUUCCGCGCCGAAAGUCUAAGGGUUCCUAUGCAACGUUCGUCGACAUAGGGUUAGCCGGCCCCUAAGGCGAGGCCGCAAGGCGUAGCUGAUGGGAAUCAGGUUCAAGGCCUUCGGGCUGAAUAUUCCUGAGCCACCAAAAGUGUUAAGUACAGGGACGCAGGUCCGUAGUCCGUUCGGUUAUAUUUGGUUAUACCGGCGGGGGAAAGAACUGCCAAGAAAAGCUGUAUGUAUUGCUUCGGUGACCGUACCGCAAACCGACACAGGUAGACGGGUUGAGUAUACUCAGGCGCGCGAGUGAGCCGUGGUUAAGGAACUCGGCAAAUUAGCCCCGUAACUUCGGGAGAAGGGGCGCUCCGAGCAAUCGGAGCCGCAGUGACUAGGUCCAGGCGACUGUUUAACAAAAACACAGCACAAUGCUAAGUCGAAAGACGACGUAUAUUGUGUGACACCUGCCCGGUGCCGGAAGGUUAAGGAAGGAUGUCAUCCUCUUCGGGGGAGAAGCUUCCGACCGAAGCCCCGGUAAACGGCGGCCGUAACUAUAACGGUCCUAAGGUAGCGAAAUUCCUUGUCGGGUAAGUUCCGACCUGCACGAAUGGUGUAACGAUCUGGACGCUGUCUCGACCACGGGCUCGGUGAAAUUGUGGUACCGGUGAAGACGCCGGUUACCCGCAUCAGGACGGAAAGACCCUAUGCACCUUUACUGCAGCUUGACAUUGACUUCGGGUAUUUUAUGUGUAGAAUAGGUGGGAGACUGUGAAGCGGCGGCGCUAGUCGUCGUGGAGUCACCUGUGAAAUACCACCCUUAACAUACUUGGAGCCUAACCCGCGGGAGUGGAUCCCGGGGAACAGUGUCAGGUGGGUAGUUUGACUGGGGCGGUCGCCUCCCAAAUAGUAACGGAGGCUCCCAAAGGUUCUCUCAGCACGGUCGGUAAUCGUGCGCAGAGUGUAAACGCAUAAGAGAGCUUUACUGCGAGACUGACGGGUCGAGCAGUUGCGAAAGCAGGGGUUAGUGAUCCGACGGUUCCGAGUGGAAGGGCCGUCGCUCAAAGGAUAAAAGGUACGCUAGGGAUAACAGGCUGAUCUCCCCCAAGAGUUCACAUCGACGGGGAGGUUUGGCACCUCGAUGUCGGCUCAUCGCAUCCUGGGGCUGGAGAAGGUCCCAAGGGUUUGGCUGUUCGCCAAUUAAAGCGGUACGUGAGCUGGGUUCAGAACGUCGUGAGACAGUUCGGUCCCUAUCCGAUGCGGGCGGAGGAAACUUGAGGAGAGUCGCUCUUAGUACGAGAGGACCGGAGUGACGGUGCCUAUGGUGUACCAGUUGUCGCGCCAAGCGGCACGGCUGGGUAGCUAUGCACCGAAAGGAUAAGCGCUGAACGCAUCUAAGCACGAAGCCUGCUCCAAGAUUAGGUUUCCCUAUCUGCGCAAGCAGAUCUUAAGGCUCCUGGGAGAUUACCAGGUUGAUAGGCUCCAGGUGGAAGCGUGGUGACACGUUGAGCCGAGGAGUACUAAUAAGCCGUGAGACUUGCCGUUAUUUUUAUU